UAGGGAAUCUUCGGCAAUGGGGGCAACCCUGACCGAGCAACGCCGCGUGAGUGAAGAAGGUUUUCGGAUCGUAAAGCUCUGUUGUAAGAGAAGAACGUGUGUGAGAGUGGAAAGUUCACACAGUGACGGUAACUUACCAGAAAGGGACGGCUAACUACGUGCCAGCAGCCGCGGUAAUACGUAGGUCCCGAGCGUUUUCCGGAUUUAUUGGGCGUAAAGCGAGCGCAGGCGGUUUAAUAAGUCUGAAGUUAAAGGCAGUGGCUUAACCAUUGUUCGCUUUGGAAACUGUUAAACUUGAGUGCAGAAGGGGAGAGUGGAAUUCCAUGUGUAGCGGUGAAAUGCGUAGAUAUAUGGAGGAACACCGGUGGCGAAAGCGGCUCUCUGGUCUGUAACUGACGCUGAGGCUCGAAAGCGUGGGGAGCAAACAGG
rnacentral:rRNA from 1 species